rfam:Ipomoea nil DNA, scaffold: scaffold1570, cultivar: Tokyo-kokei standard.
GGUUUUGCGGUGCAAUUGGUUAACACGUUAAUCUAACACACUAAAGGUCUCCGGUUCAAAUCCGGGCAAAGCCA